ACUAUUGCUUUCUCAUUAGACUUCGUUCGUCAAUCGUAGUUGAGUGCUCCUCAUCACAAAGUCACUCUUGAGUUUUGCUUUUUGUAACUUUUUUGGUUUUGCUGGAAUAGCACAGCAAUGAAAUCAAUGUUCUUCACGGUAGCGAAAAACAGAGACUUAUUCCUGCUCACUUGCCAGGAUACGGGGGAUAUUUGCUGCUGUGUUUGUAUGUAUGAGCCUGUAUACCAAUUGGAAAACAACAAAUCAGGGAGGGUUUUCCCUAUGUAGAGAUUUUCAGUUGGGAAAACAUAUGUAGAAAAGAGAAUCAUGCAAAUAAAAUAAUUGCCAGAUGUGUAAACCCUUCGUUUUUGGAGAGAUCAGAAAUUUUUACUCAAUAUAUUAAUUACAUAUGUAUUUAUAUAAAAAAAAAUGAAUACCUAAUUUUAAACAUAAUAUAAAUAUAUAAUGUA